CCUACGGGAGGCAGCAGUGGGGAAUAUUGGGCAAUGGGCGCAAGCCUGACCCAGCAACGCCGCGUGAAGGAAGAAGGCUUUCGGGUUGUAAACUUCUUUUAAGAGGGAAGAGCAGAAGACGGUACCUCUUGAAUAAGCCACGGCUAACUACGUGCCAGCAGCCGCGGUAAUACGUAGGUGGCAAGCGUUGUACGGAUUUACUGGGGGUAAAGGGCGUGCAGCCGGGAAGACAAGUCAGAGGUGAAAUCCCGCGGCUCAACCGCGGAACUGCAUUUGAAACUGUUUUUCUUGAGUACCGGAGAGGUCAUCGGAAUUCCUUGUGUAGCGGUGAAAUGCGUAGAUAUAAGGAAGAACACCAGUGGCGAAGGCGGAUGACUGGACGGCAACUGACGGUGAGGCGCGAAAGCGUGGGGAGCAAACAGGAUUAGAUACCCUAGUAGUC
rnacentral:rRNA from 1 species